AUUGAACGCUGGCGGCAGGCCUAACACAUGCAAGUCGAGCGGAUGAAGGGAGCUUGCUCCUGGAUUCAGCGGCGGACGGGUGAGUAAUGCCUAGGAAUCUGCCUGGUAGUGGGGGAUAACGUCCGGAAACGGGCGCUAAUACCGCAUACGUCCUGAGGGAGAAAGUGGGGGAUCUUCGGACCUCACGCUAUCAGAUGAGCCUAGGUCGGAUUAGCUAGUUGGUGGGGUAAAGGCCUACCAAGGCGACGAUCCGUAACUGGUCUGAGAGGAUGAUCAGUCAAACCGGGAACGAGGACACGUCCCAGACUCCUAGGGAGGGCGGCGUGGGGAAUAAUUGGACAAUGGGCGAAAGCCUAUCCAGGCCAGGCGGCGGUGUUAAGAAGGUCCUUCGGUUGGUAAGGAACUUUAGGUGGGGAGAAGGGCAGUAAGUUAAUACCUUGCUGUUUUGACGUUACCAACAGAAUAAGCACCGGCUAACUUCGUG
rnacentral:rRNA from 1 species